AGCCCCAACAUAUUUCAUUCUACAUCUAACCUUUGAAUUGGAAGUGUCUCCUGAAAUUUCAUAGUAUUAUUUUAUAUUUGGAAAAUUUUAACCUUUGGCCAUAAAAAAGUAAAACAAAGCGAUAAAAAAAGUAAAAAGUUCUCAAACCAAUCCAAAUCAUGGACCGCGCCGGGUAAUCUUUUACUCUGGUUGUGGUCCAAGACUUUCAGUGAUGAACAGGAGCCUGGCGAGCAGGAAUCCGAG